rnacentral:rRNA from 1 species
UUUAACUGAGCGUUCAGUUACUUGACGUAGACCCGAAACCGGGCGACCUACCCAUGAGCAGGAUGAAGCGAAAGUAAAAUUUCGUGGAGGUCCGAACCCACGAGCGUUGAAAAGCUCGGGGAUGACUUGUGGGUAGCGGUGAAAUUCCAAUCGAGCCCGGAGAUAGCUGGUUCUCCCCGAAAUAGCUUUAGGGCUAGCCUCAAGGUGAGAGAUACGGAGGUAGAGCACUGAAUGUCCUAGGGGGUAUUGCACCUACCGAAGACUAUCAAACUCCGAAUGCCGUCAUCUUAUACUUGGGAGUCAGACUGUGGGUGAUAAGAUUCAUAGUCGAAAGGGCAACAGCCCAGAUCGUCAGCUAAGGUCCCUAAAUGUAAGUUAAGUGGUAAAGGAUGUGGGAUUGCACAGACAACCAGGAUGUUGGCUUAGAAGCAGCCACUCAUUCAAAGAGUGCGUAAUAGCUCACUGGUCGAGUGAUCCUGCGCCGAAGAUUUCCGGGGCUAAAACUUACUACCGAAGCUACGGCAUCAGUAAUGAUGGGUAGGGGAGCUUCCCAUACGGGUUGAAGCAUGACCGUAAGGACAUGUGGACAGUAUGGGAGUGAGAAUGUUGGCAUGAGUAGCGAGAUGUGGGUGAGAAUCCCACAGGCCGUAAACCCAAGGUUUCCAGGGGAAGGUUCGUCCGCCCUGGGUUAGUCGGGACCUAAGCUGAGGCCGAAAGGCGUAGGUGAUGGACAACAGGUUGAUAUUCCUGUACUACCGAUAAC